UGAGGAAUAUUGGUCAAUGGACGAAAGUCUGAACCAGCCAAGUAGCGUGCAGGAUGACGGCCCUCUGGGUUGUAAACUGCUUUUAGUUGGGAAUAAAAAAGAGGACGUGUCCUCUCUUGUAUGUACCUUCAGAAAAAGGACCGGCUAAUUCCGUGCCAGCAGCCGCGGUAAUACGGAAGGUCCAGGCGUUAUCCGGAUUUAUUGGGUUUAAAGGGAGCGUAGGCGGAUUGUUAAGUCAGCGGUUAAAGGGUGUGGCUCAACCAUGCAUUGCCGUUGAAACUGGCGAUCUUGAGUGCAGACAGGGAUGCCGGAAUUCGUGGUGUAGCGGUGAAAUGCUUAGAUAUCACGAAGAACUCCGAUCGCGAAGGCAGGUGUCCGGGCUGCAACUGACGCUGAGGCUCGAAAGUGUGGGUAUCAAACAGGAUUAGAUACCCUGGUAGUCCACACAGUAAACGAUGUAUACUCGCGGUUUGCGAUAGAUUGUAAGCCGCCAAGCGAAAGCAUUAAGUAUACCACCUGGGGAGUACGCCGGCAACGGUG
rnacentral:rRNA from 1 species